CUGGCCUACCUUAAUGCUGGUGGCAAAACAUUGUUUAGUUUCAGAAGGUAAAUUGGUAGUUGUUGAUGUUGAAUAUGACAGUCAUUAUGUCUCAUUACUUAAUAAUAUAAUAUAAUACAUUAAUUUUGAAUGGUUGCCAUAUUUUAUGUAAAAAUGUUAACACUUGUUUUCACUUUAAUAUAACAUUAGUACUUGCUUAAUUCUUACUUACUUAUAUACUUCUUUACAUACAUUCGAUAUUAAAGUAUUUUUGCUGGUUUUGCUGGUUUUUUUUACCACGUAUUAAUCCUGGCUUAAUAGAUAAGAAUUUCUCUUAACUGUCUUAGCUAACUGCAAUUAACCCAUUUUCGACAGGCUUUUUCUGGCUUUGUUCUUACAUUACUUUAUUUAUUAUUUAAUUUUUAGUCUUAAGAAAGUAAUUAGCUACAAAUAUAAUUGCCCAACCCAUUACUGUGUGAUAUAGAGCCCUGCUCAGUUUGAAUUAUUUUUACUGACUUUUUUCAUAAUUUAUCUUUAUUUUAAUAUACGUAACUUUUGAUAUGUAUGUCAACUGUGUUUAUGUACAUGUAAUUUUCUCUAACUUCAUGACAAUUUUAGCUGCCUCAUGUUUAUUUUUUGUUUCUUUUUUAUUUGUUAAUGAAUGAUUCUGUUUAUUUAUCAAUAAUUUUUUAUUGAAAGAUAAAAUUUUAUUUACCAAGAUACAAUGUAUCAUUUAAGUUUUGAAGAGUAAAUAAGUAUUCAAGAGUCGAUAAUCAUUCAAUUAAUGUUUUGUUAAAGCAAAUAUGAUUUUAAAAGAAAGGUAUUUUGAGUUACAGAUUAAUUUGAAAGAGAAACAAAUGUUAUACUCUAUCUUGGCAUAUGAACCUUUCUUUUAAAAAAUCAACUGAAUAUUUCAUUCUUGCCUGAGUACAAAUUUUCAAACAUUUUUCUAAAUUCAGGAUAUCCAGUUUUUCUGACAUUUUGAUCUUGCAUAUAUGCAAGUGUUUAUCAUGAAUAUUUGAUUCAGAGAUUUGACCAAAAAAAUGUUGAAAUUUGCAAUUGAACAAACUUAAAAUAUGUUGUUUUAUUCUUCAUUAGUUUCCAACUUGCACAAUACUUGUUAGUUUUAUGAAUUUGUGCACACUGACAUAAGUUAUACCAAAAAUAUAAAAUAAGUAUUUAUUUAUGUGUUUAUAUAAUGCAUGACAUGGUUGAUAAGUUACAGAUAUAAAUUUAACAUAUGUGUAAUGGUUGAUAAGUUAUAGGUACAUGUAUGUAUUUUACAUACAUGUUAUCUCAACUUUAUUUAUAGCAUAAUAUUUGUCAUUUAAAGAUUACUCAACCACAAUGAACAUAUAUGUGAGCCACUGUGUUUAUAUAUUUAUUACAGUGGAAACACCUCGUGUAAGGAGGCAAGAACAGCCUUGAGUUUAUUAUGAUAUAAUCUGAAAUCAGUUGGUAUUUACCAUUUUAUUUCGAUACACCAUCCUUAAAUGAUAAGCUAUUGACAAUGAAAUAAAAACUCAGGUUAGUUUUAUAAGUAAUUAGAUUGUUUGAUUAUUUGGUACACAUUGCACAAAAUGCUUGAAGCCUAAGAUCUUUUGCCAUAAAUAAAAGCUGAAAAUGUGCCAUAUUAACUUCAUGGAUGGCGUGUAUAAAAACCAAAUUGAAAAUAGGUUUAUAGGACAUUGUAAAAAAAAUAAGGAUUAAAAUGACCAAGAUCACUAAAGUUAUUUAUUGAAUAUGCAUUUAAAUGAUCUAGAUCACUAUGUUUAUUUGUUAAAUAAGCAUUUUUAAUGACUUUGAAUGAUCAUCAUGCACUUUUUUAGAUAUAAUUAUAAGCGUUUAAAUGAUCUAGAUCACAUAGUUACAUGUACAUAUCACUAUGUAAUUUUUUAGAUAAGCGUUUAAAUGAUUCACUAUGUAAUUUUUUAGAUAAGCGUUUAAAUGAUCUAGAUCACUUAUAUAUAUUUUGAAUUAAUAAGCAUUAAAAUGAUGUAAAUCAUUCAGUUAUUUUUUCACUUCGCAACCUUGAAAUAGAAAUUACAUAGAAGUGAUCAAGUUGUAUGAUUUUGUAUGAACUUUUGUUUAAUCCAGCUCCACAUUUGAAACAGUCUUUGUGACAUAUGCUUUCAUUUUGUGUGAAAGUUUAUUUUAUAAAGUACAUAUCCUACAGAAAUGUCUAGUUUUUACUGCUAUAAGAUAUAAUUGAACAUAAUUAUAAUUUCAGAUACCAAAUACUUACAUAUAUAAUCACACUUUCAUUUUUUAUAAGAAAAGAACCCCUGAACAUCUCUACUUGAUACUUUCCUGCAAUAAGCCCUGCUUGAUUAUAUAGACUAAUAUAUGUAAUCUGCUUGAUUAAUAUAUAGUGAGAAAAUAAUUUAAUGUGAGGCUUUUAUAAUCAAGUCUAGUUAUUAUUCUAGUGCAAUUAAUAUUAUAAUGUGAUAAUUUAAUAUCAUACAAACUGUUUUAUCAGCACUAUAUAUUGUCACCUUAGUGCAAUAACUGUUUAACUCCUAUUAAAUGGAGAAGGACUUAACCUGUUACUGCACUAAGGCAACGAUUAUUAUGUGUAGUUUGUCCAUUGUUCUUUACCAUUGAUCAUCAAGUUUUAUUAUAACAUGUAUUAUUGAUAUUUAUCAACAAGUUGAUAGACAAGGCUUUAAUUACUUUUUUUUCACUUGGCCUAAGUGAUGACUUCAAAGUGAGACUUUAGUUCCUGUUUUUUUUGAAAAAUGUAUGUAUUCUAGGCUUAAUGAGGGUCCAUCGGCCCUUUUAGGCACUGAGAGUACGGUGCCCCUUUUUGAAUGAUUUACCACCAAAGCCUUAAUGUACUUUAACCUAUGAUUUUGAAGAGGUAAUGCAGUAAGGCACUGACCACUUAACUGGACAAAGCAAUUAUGUUGAUUGUCUAUGAUUAUUUAUUUAUUAAAAAAUUACAUCUAUUUACUAUAAUUAUGUAAAUUACAUUGCAUGAGUUUCUUUGCAUAUUGUAAUAAAUAUGUGAAAUAAUG